ensembl:ncRNA F41E7.11 ncRNA
GAGCUACUUGUAAUUCAAAGUUUAUGUCAAUUAACUUGACAUCUUUAGGGAAAAGAUAGAAGGAUGUGAAACCUAGAAAACACUAACGC